rnacentral:lncRNA from 1 species
UAUGACUAAGAUAAUAUACAACAAAUUAUCGUUAGUCUUCAACAGGGAAAAAUCUAAUAGAAUACAAUAGACAACAAGUUUUAAAUCAGUAUUCGCAACGGAAAUAAUAAUUCAUUAGAAGAGUUAAGUAGAGAAUGCAAACUACUAUCUUCUAUGUAUGAAUUUAAAAGUUCGUCGUCUAUCUUUUAUCCCUGUAACAUCAAUCAAUAUAUAUCUGGAA